rnacentral:rRNA from 1 species
UACGUAGGGGGCAAGCGUUGUCCGGAAUCAUUGGGCGUAAAGCGCGUGUAGGCGGCCCGGUAAGUCCGCUGUGAAAGUCCAGGGCUCAACCCUGGGAUGCCGGUGGAUACUGUCGGGCUCGAGUCCGGAAGAGGCGAGUGGAAUUCCUGGUGUAGCGGUGAAAUGGCGCAGGAUAUCAGGAGGAACACCGGUGGCGAAGGCGGGUCUCUGGGCCGAUACUGACGCUGAGGAGCGAAAGCGUGGGGAGCGAACAGG